UGGGGAAUAUUGGACAAUGGGCGAAAGCCUGAUCCAGCCAUGCCGCGUGUGUGAAGAAGGCCCUCGGGUUGUAAAGCACUUUCAGUGGGGAAGAAAGCCUCGGGAUUAAUACUUCCGAGGGAGGACAUCACCCACAGAAGAAGCACCGGCUAACUCCGUGCCAGCAGCCGCGGUAAUACGGAGGGUGCGAGCGUUAAUCGGAAUUACUGGGCGUAAAGCGCGCGUAGGCGGUCUGAUCAGCCGGUUGUGAAAGCCCCGGGCUCAACCUGGGAACGGCAUCCGGAACUGUCAGGCUAGAGUGCAGGAGAGGAAGGUAGAAUUCCCGGUGUAGCGGUGAAAUGCGUAGAGAUCGGGAGGAAUACCAGUGGCGAAGGCGGCCUUCUGGACUGACACUGACGCUGAGGUGCGAAAGCGUGGGGAGCAAACA
rnacentral:rRNA from 1 species